rnacentral:sRNA from 2 species
AUUCUUAAUUCGCUUAAUCCAUUAUGGAGCGGGGGACCCAAUUUUGCUGGCAUUUUUUGCAGCUUGGGGUGAAUCCUUUACUGGUAGGGCUACUCUCAUUGCCCGAACCCGACAGCUAACUUCGCAAGCGUUCUUGAGAGAGGAU